rnacentral:rRNA from 1 species
AGCUCCAAUAGCGUAUAUUAAAGUUGUUGCAGUUAAAAAGCUCGUAGUUGGAUUUCGGGGCAGCCUGGCUGGUCCGCCGCAAGGCGAGUACUGGUCAGCCGCCCUUCCUCUCGAAAGCCCCGACUGCUCUUUACUGCAGUGGUCGGGUAGUUCGGGACGUUUACUUUGAAAAAAUUAGAGUGUUCAAGGCAGGCCGUCGCCUGAAUACAUUAGCAUGGAAUAAUGGAAGAGGACCUCGGUCCUAUUUUGUUGGUUUCCAGGGCCGAAGUAAUGAUUAAGAGGGACAGUUGGGGGCAUUCGUAUUUAAUUGUCAGAGGUGAAAUUCUCGGAUUUAUGAAAGACGGACAACUGCGAAAGCAUUUGCCAAGGAUGUUUUCAUUAAUCAAGAACGAAAGUACGC